rnacentral:misc_RNA from 1 species
UCAAGAGUGACCCCACUUGUAAAAUAGUGGGGUUAACCUCCCGUCCUUUGCUUUAACCCUACCAUUUUUUGGAGGGGGCAUUUAACUUCUGCUUCGGUGGGGUUUACCCACCGGAACAACCUCAAAAAUUCUUUAUUUAAAAAUAAUUCAGUCCGAGAAUUUUUUGAAUUAAACAAA